GGACUGUAGCUUAGUGGUAGAGCAUCUGUCUUGCAUAUAGAAGGUCCCAGGUUCAAUUCCUGGUAUAUCCA